ACUGGACAAUCACUGACUUGCUGUUGGAAGGUUCCAAAAUCCAUUUAUUCAUACAAGGAUCUUUUGUAUGCACAAGCUCCAUUUUUUGAGCUGACCUUUGAGAACACUGCUCUGUUAUACCAUGUCUUGCUUAAUUGUUAUACUGUUCACUUUUUUUUAUUCUUAAUUAAUCAUAUUUUUCUGUAUACUGUAACUUGUAAUGGUUAUAUAAAUGCUAAGUGUUGUCUUGCUAUUAGAUGAAACGCGUUGGGCUAUUACUCUGUUUUCUGAUGUUAUCUCCGAAUACUCAAUAAGGAAGAUUAGGGAUACAGGCAGAAGUUUAUCUGCACCCUUCCACAAAACACAGGAGAUUUGCAUCUUGUUAACUAUGUAAUAUGAUGGACACCAUGUAUGCUU